UACGUAGGUGGCAAGCGUUGUCCGGAUUUACUGGGCGUAAAGGGAGCGUAGGUGGAUAUUUAAGUGGGAUGUGAAAUACUCGGGCUUAACCUGAGUGCUGCAUUCCAAACUGGAUAUCUAGAGUGCAGGAGAGGAAAGUGGAAUUCCUAGUGUAGCGGUGAAAUGCGUAGAUAUUAGGAAGAACACCAGUGGCGAAGGCGACUUUCUGGACUGUAACUGACGCUGAGGUGCGAAAGCGUGGGGAGCAAACAGG
rnacentral:rRNA from 1 species